GCAGUCUACUCAUGCAGUCGAGCGGACAGAUGAGAGCUUGCUCUCUGGUCGUCGAGCGCGCGACACGGUGUGAGUCACGCGUAGGAAAUCGGCCCGAUAACGGGGGAAAAUCCGGGGAAACUCACGCUAAUCCGAUGCUUCCUACAACCACAUGCAUGGGAUCUUCAGACCUUGCGCUAUCGCAUGAUCCUAUGGGGCAUUAGCUAGUUGGUGAGGUAACGGCUCACCCGGGCGACCAUCCGUACCUGGCCUGACAGAAUGAUCAGGGUGAUCGGCACUGAUGCACGGCCCACACUCCUACGGGACCUACCGGUGGGAAAUAUUGGACAUCUUCGGAAACCCUGAACCGUCCAUGCCACCAGCGCCACGAAGGUCUUCAGGGUUUUAAGAUCUUUCAACUCUGAAGAAGGGGAAAAACAUAAUCCCCUUCAAGAAGGACAUCCCUCGCAGAAAAAGAACCGGAUAACUCCGUGCCACCACCCGCCGUAAUCCGGAGGGUGCCAGCGUUGAUCGGAAUUACUGGGAAUAAUGGGCGCGAAGGUGGCUUGAUAAGCCUGUUGUGAAAGCCCCGGAAUCCCCCUGGCAACGCCAUCCGGGACUGUCGGGAUCGGGUGAACUAGAGGAAGGAAGAGUUCCCGGUGUUUCCGCGUAAUGCGUAGAGAUCGGUAGGAAUACCAAUGACCAACGCGGCCUUCGGGACUUACACUGGACACUGACGUGCGAAAGC
rnacentral:rRNA from 1 species